UACAGAGGGGGCAAGCGUUGUUCGGAAUUACUGGGCGUAAAGGGCGCGUAGGCGGCCUGUUAAGUCGAACGUGAAAUCCCCGGGCUCAACCCGGGAACUGCGUCCGAUACUGGCAGGCUUGAAUUCGGGAGAGGGAUGCGGAAUUCCAGGUGUAGCGGUGAAAUGCGUAGAUAUCUGGAGGAACACCGGUGGCGAAGGCGGCGAUCUGGGAAGAUACUGACGCUGAGGUGCGAAAGCGUGGGGAGCAAACAGG
rnacentral:rRNA from 1 species